AUACAGAGGUCCCAAGCGUUGUUCGGAUUCACUGGGCGUAAAGGGUGCGUAGGUGGUGGGGUAAGUUCGAUGUGAAAGCUCCGAGCUCAACUCGGAAAUGGCAUUGAAUACUACCCUGCUAGAGGAUUGGAGGGGGGACUGGAAUUCUCGGUGUAGCAGUGAAAUGCGUAGAUAUCGAGAGGAACACCAGUGGCGAAGGCGAGUCCCUGGACAAUUCCUGACACUGAGGCACGAAAGCUAGGGGAGCAAACAGGAUUAGAAACCCCAGUAGUCC
rnacentral:rRNA from 1 species